rnacentral:rRNA from 1 species
GAUGAACGCUGGCGGCGUGCUUAACACAUGCAAGUCGAACGAAGCACUUUAUUUGAUUUCCUUCGGGACUGAUUAUUUUGUGACUGAGUGGCGGACGGGUGAGUAACGCGUGGGUAACCUGCCUUGUACAGGGGGAUAACAGCUGGAAACGGCUGCUAAUACCGCAUAAGCGCACGGCAUCGCAUGAUGCAGUGUGAAAAACUCCGGUGGUAUAAGAUGGACCCGCGUUGGAUUAGCUAGUUGGUGAGGUAACGGCCCACCAAGGCGACGAUCCAUAGCCGACCUGAGAGGGUGACCGGCCACAUUGGGACUGAGACACGGCCCAAACUCCUACGGGAGGCAGCAGUGGGGAAUAUUGCACAAUGGGCGAAAGCCUGAUGCAGCGACGCCGCGUGAGCGAAGAAGUAUUUCGGUAUGUAAAGCUCUAUCAGCAGGGAAGAUAAUGACGGUACCUGACUAAGAAGCACCGGCUAAAUACGU